AUGCACCUGCGGCUCGGGCGCGUGCCCACCGUGGUGGCUGGCUCCGCGGCCGCGGCGGAGGAGGCCAUGAGGACCCGCGACCUCGACUUCGCCAGCCGCCCCAGGCUCCUCAUGGUCGACCGCUUCUACUACGGCACCGGCGGCAUCGGCUUCGCGCCCUACGGCGAGCACUGGCGCCAGGCGCGCCGCGUCUGCGUCACCCACAUGCUCAACGCGCGCCGCGUCGCGUCCCUGGGCCGCGUCCGCGCUCGUCGACCGGGUCCGCCAACACGCCGGCGCCGUCGUGAACCUCAGCGACAACCUCAUUGUGUACUCUAA
rnacentral:rRNA from 1 species